UGCCGCCCGUGUUGGCGACGGCAACGUUGCCGCCGUUGCCGGUGGCUGCGGUGGCUGGCGGGCCGAUCGUGUCGGUGGCGAUGC
rnacentral:tRNA from 1 species